UAAUACAAGUACGAAAGGAAUGGAACCUGAGAAGUAAUUCCAUGGCGAGCUCUUCACCCCCGUGAAAGGUAUCAAAGAUAGAAAGAUAAAUGAGGCAUCUGUUGUAGCAUUAAAUGCCGAGAAUUUGCAGAAAUACUCAAUUUAUUAUCACAGCUUCCUUCUUGAAUACAAGUUAUGGAGAUUUUGUGCGAAUUGAAGACAGUAAUGAUUCAAUGAAUGGUGACAUUAAGUUAAUUCAAAAUAUCAUGACCGAAUCAUUCAACCGCUCCUCUAAAAUUCUACGGAGUACUGCAUAAGGCGAGAGACAGAGAGAUGAGGGGGAUUACACUUUUCUUUUUUUUAGGUUCUAACUUAUUAGAAGAAUUCAACAUUAACAAUCAAAGUUGGAAGCUGCAAUUCCUGGUGAUGUUGAUAACAUUUGGACUGUAUUGACGAAUCUUAUCGGCAAUGUCACGUUAAAUUUUGUUACAUUUCUUUUGAGUUUUAUGGUUGAAAUUUUGCUUCAAAUUUUAACAACUUCGGAGUUUAUACUAUAAUGUGCACCUGGAUUUUGUAUAGUUGAAUUAUGUAAAUGAAUAUUUAUUAUACACUAUGCAUGCAGAUUUUCUCCUCUUCAAUCUUUGAAUUUUGGAUAUUUGAAUUAUCUUCUGACUUUUGUUAAUUUUAUGUGAUUAUCCGGUUGUUAAAUUGUUUAGUAGAACUGGUAGUAUGCAGGAGUUGUCAUAUCUUUUGAGUGUUUAAGUAAUUUGAUCCAUUACCUUACUAACUAUUAUUAGUUCGACUUUAUGAACGAAAGACUAAGAUUUGAUUCACUGAGAUAAAUUUUUGCAUGUUAUAUACGGUUGAGUUCAAAUAGUUUUGGAAACUUGAUGUAGGUGUUUUCUCCUGUACAAGAUGAUAAGCUCAUUAGAAUGCUUAAAUAGUCUAGAAUUUAAUUUGUUAAUUAUGAUGAGAAUCUGAAUUUCUUUGUGUAGAUUGAGCUUUAUUUUGGUUCUAUGGAAGUGGAGUAUGAGGUAGAGGUUCUCACAUCUAUCCUACCUUUGUUCUUUGCAGUGAGAACACCGGUGAGAAUAAUGCUUCUCUUGUGAGAUGCAAUUAUCAAAACGAGGAUGGUAAAAGAAGCAUGAGGCACCGAGAAUCAUCUUAUGCAGUAGGCAGAAAGCUAUGCAUUCAUAAUUCAUUAUGGAAGGGGUGACUAUGUCCAUGUUUUCAUUUCAAAUUCCAAAGCCUCUGCAAGAGAACUAUGUCAGAAAGCGCCCUGCUCAUUUACCUAUGCCGGAUGACUUUAAGUUUGGGAUGUCAACCGAUCAGACCAUUCUGUAUGAUCCUCCACAAGAUCCAAAUUUAUUUAUUCACAGAGUUGGACGAACUGCUCGAGUGCUCGCAAGGGGAGUCAGGAACUGCAGUUGUCUUUCAUUUAUCCAAGGUAGUUUCUUGACUUGAGUUUUCACAUAAUGAUUAAGACUUGAGACUUUGGAGUUAGAAUUUUAGUGUUCAAAUGUUGUUGAUUCUUGUGAUAUACUUAUUGUUAUACCGUUGUAAAAUGUA